AGUGAACGCUGGCGGUAGGCCUAACACAUGCAAGUCGAACGGCAGCACAGUAAGAGCUUGCUCUUACGGGUGGCGAGUGGCGGACGGGUGAGGAAUACAUCGGAAUCUACUUUUUCGUGGGGGAUAACGUAGGGAAACUUACGCUAAUACCGCAUACGACCUACGGGUGAAAGCAGGGGAUCUUCGGACCUUGCGCGAUUGAAUGAGCCGAUGUCGGAUUAGCUAGUUGGCGGGGUAGAGGCCCACCAAGGCGACGAUCCGUAGCUGGGCUGAGAGGAUGAUCAGCCACACUGGAACUGAGACACGGUCCAGACUCCUACGGGAGGCAGCAGUGGGGAAUAUUGGACAAUGGGCGCAAGCCUGAUCCAGCCAUACCGCGUGGGUGAAGAAGGCCUUCGGGUUGUAAAGCCCUUUUGUUGGGAAAGAAAAGCAGCAGGUUAAUACCCCGCUGUUCUGACGGUACCCAAAGAAUAAGCACCGGCUAACUUCGUG
rnacentral:rRNA from 1 species